rnacentral:lncRNA from 1 species
AAAGAUUUCAGUUUCUUCUGUGUCUACUAAAGAUUACAUCACUGGAGAGAGACACGAAAGCUCAAGCAUCCGAAGGGCUAGAAAAUGACCAUUAAAGAUGCGUCCAAAGUUUCCAAUCUCUAAACAUGCAUGUUUCUAUCCUGAGAUGGGCCUGUUCAGCUCAUAAAUAUAAGUAGCCAACCCUCACAGUGAACCUGAAAGACAAGUCCCCGUGUCUUUAGUAUCAGCUUUGGUGACAGCGAAGACUUACAAACAUCGUGCAGAGCAUCCCACAGGUGACUCGCUCAGUUGAUGAGGUGUGAAACAGAGGCAGACCUUGGCACCCAGAGCAUUCCUCGGCAGAAGACCGAACUGCAGCGUGAAUGACACAGUCACGCAGAAUUGUAAUAAACAUUUGGAUGACUAACGGUCUGGCAAAGUCUUUGGAGCUGCUGCAUUUGAAACCACAGAGAGCCGUACCUAUCCCUGAAUCAA